GAUGAUUAAUUGAAUAAUUUGUAAUGAAAAAAACAGGGAUGAGAGGGGGGGCAUGUGCCCCCACUGGGCCUUACCUCCCUCCGUCCAUGUGAGUCUGCGAUUUUCUACCACUUCGUCAGCCCGUCUUUUGGUCUCAAAUCCUUUCUUUUUCUUUCGCAAAAUUGUCUUAGUAGAGGUCCAGCGUUUGAUUUUUGUUUUUUUGGAUUUAGUUUCCAGUCUCUCCCGUUAUUGAAUGCUUUGUUGUUGGGCGUUUUCUUCUCAUCUUGCGAUCGUCGGGGAAGAACUUUAAGGUUAGUUUGUUCUUCGUGUUUUAUCCUCAUUUUGCUAUCUCUAGGCCAAGAAAUUUAAGGUCUUUGUUUUUGUUUUUUCUGCGGAUCUGCAGGUUGGGACAAAGUUUUUGUGAAAUUGGUGACUAAUCGCAUGCUGCCUCUUCAGAUUAUUGACAAAGAAAAUUAUAUUGAGCUUGGGUAUGUUUUACAACAACUACGUGUAAUUUUCGAUUCUCAGUUUGUAUUUGUUUGAAAGGAACCCUGAAAAAAACUGUGGCAAUUUGGUUCUCUGUUGUGUUUAUGCUGGCUGUAACAAAUUGGUUUACCGUGUGUAUAAUUUUUUGCUACAAAAUUGGUACAUUCUAAUCGUUCUUAAAAAAAAGACUCAAUUUGUUUUCCAAUUAUUUUUUAGAGUUGUUUUCGUUAUUGGUUUAAAUCAAUGUCCAGAAACCAAAAAGCUUUCAAAAGCAAAGGAUUUAACAUUACUUAAGGGUUUUACAGAGGUUUAAAAGCUUGAAUGCUUAAUUAAAGUUUUGUUUAGAUCAAUGUAUAGAGACGAAAAAGGUUUGAAAAGGAAAGUAUUUCAGAUUGCUUGAAGCUUUUACACCAGUUUAAAAGCUUGAGUGACUAAUUAAAGCUUAAUUAUGAAUUCAACCAUAUUUUACUUAAGUUAAUCAAUCAUGUAACUACUGAAAGUAUAUGAUUCAGUUACCUUUUUGAAAAUGAGUACCUUUCUUUUUUAUUAAGGAUCAAGAACAUUCAUGCUAUCAAUUUUUCUCAAUGAUGAGGCAUUUCAUUUUCUUUCGUUGUCAAAUAGUGUUCUCUGGUGGUUGCAAAGUAAUACAUAUGUAUAUAGAGCAGGUCAUUAAUAAACAAUCUGUUUGGUUCUAAUUUUUUGAUAAUUCGGUAUUAUUGGAAAGAUAAUGUGGACAAGGAGCUGUUAACUCUUAUUUAUAUAAACAGAUGCAUAAAAUUUGUUUUGCACGACAAAGCUUAUAUGUAUUUGGUUAACAAUGCGAGUAUUCUGAGUUUUGUUAAUUCAGUAAAAUGUAUUGUAGGUCAUUAAAUUUUGACAUCCGUUUCACUAAUACUGCUUUUAUUCUCAGCAAAUAUAACAUGACCUUACAUUUUUUGAACUUUCAUCUGAUACUGUUUUCUAUAGAGAAGAUAAUCAUCGCAGAAAACUCAAUCUAACGAUACUUUUCCUGCUACUAAAAGCAUUCUCUUAACCUUCAACUUAAGUAAGUGCUGCAUUUUUAUAUAUGUACAUGGUUUACAUAGUUUUUAACCAUUACAUCACCCAUUGUCUAUAGCUGUGUGUUGUUUCUAAUUGCUUACUGUACUGAAAUAAUUGUAUUUAAUCAUAUUUUAAUAAGUGAAGUUUGUAAAAUUGGUUUCCAGGUAUGGUUAAGCAGUUAAAAGGUUUGUUUAAUAAUUUGAAGAAAAAGAACAUAAAUCACUAAUGUAACAGGUAUGUCACAACUUCAACAAAUAGGUUUCAAGAACAUGUAAAUACAAGGAUCCAAGAGUAUGUCAAAUAAAUUAACGUUUUAUUACUUUUUUUUUAUUACUUUUCUACAUUUAAAUUCAAUAUUUACUGACCUUUCUCCUCAGGGGAAUUAGUUACUACUAAUUUAUAUACAGACUAUCUUCUAUUUAUCUAAUCUAAAUACAUGGCCUUGCCUACACAUUGAGAGGUUAAGUUAAACAUAAAAAAGUAGAAAUAUGCCAUCUCCACAUGCUUUAAUUAAGUUAAGGAACAUCUUACCAAUAGCAGAAUUGUUAAAUCUAUCCAUGCACCGUUGCUGUUAUUCAUUGAUUAGAUUUAAUAAUUCUUCUAUACGUAAUGUAUUCUUUCGCUAAGUUAAAGCAUGUAGAGACGGUGUAUCUUUGGUGGGAACAUUUGUACUCAUACUAUUCCAUGUUUAUCUUAAACCUUUUAAUGCAUAGAUAAAAAAUUGGCCAUACAUUUAGGGUAGGUCAAAAUAAUAAAGUUUGUAUAUAAAUUGCUAAUAGCUAAUUCCUUUGAGGAGAAAAGAUGGAAAUGAUGAUUUUUCCUCCGAAUAAUGGAGCAUAAAAAACAUCUCUAUAUUGCAGAGAGCAACCUAUUUAGCUAAAUCUGAUCCAUCCUCUUAAUAUGCAUGGUGUGCAGUUUCUGAUUUUUAAUCAAACUUCACACUAUUAUUUUCAUUUGGUAAUAGGUUUUAUAAAAUUUGCCCAUCCUCUUAAUACACAUGGUGUGCAGUUUGUGAUUUUGUACAUAGUUUUAUAAUCUUUAAACAUCAUUUCAUCACAUUUUGGGAAAUGAUGUAACCAUUUGUCUCUUCACCGUCUUAAAUUGUAUAAAAUUAACCCUUUAUUCUGUUCAUGAAAGUACAACGGUGAACUGACAUUAUGUAAAUUCACAAUCCGAGUAAGUCCUCGAUUUCACAUAUUUUAAUUUAUUUAUACUUUUGUUCACAUUAAUCAAUAUUAUACUGCAGUUUGAAAUCUAUGAUAUACAUCUAUCUACUUUCAAACCUAAAUUCUACAUCUAUUAGAUCAAAUUAAAAAACCCCUACAAGCUUAGAUAUAUAUUUAUUUAGCUCUCUGUAUUAAGAAUUUAUGGGUGUUGUUCUUCUCAUUUAAAAAAAAAAUUAAAUUUAAUAUAUUCAUGUACUCUGUUUGGAUACAUUGAAAGUAUAAUCAACAAUAAAUAUUUAAGUCUGUGACAUCAGGCAAUUUAGCAUGGUUACUUGCUGUUCUCUUCAAGGUCAGACAAAGUUUAUCUUUGUAAAUAUAUGUAUCUUACCAAAAACCAUAAAUGAUACUACAGAUCUUUUUUUUUCCUCUAAUUUUUUUAAUUUUUUAAUUUUUUAAUUUUUUUUAACAAAUGCUUCUCAACAAUUGAGCCCUUUUUGUCACUAUUCAUAUUGCAGGAGUUGAGCUUCCACAAAUUUCAGGGCGUUCAAACUUUAUCCUCUCGAAUGAAAUGGUAAUGAAAUUUCUUAAAAUUAUAGUUUAUUACUAUAAAAGAUGACUUAUGUUCUCAGCCUCAUAAUCUAUGUAUGUUUACACAUUAUCCAACUUGCUUUGCUUCUACAAAAUCAAAAUACUUAUAUCCGCCUACAAAAUUCUGUUGAAGAAGAGAGAUUUUUUGUAACAUCCCACAUCGCCCAGGGGAGUGAUCCUUAAAUAUAUAUUCUCAUCCCUACCUAGCACGAGGCAUUUUGGGAGCUCACUGGCUUCGGGUUCCAUAG
rnacentral:lncRNA from 1 species